rnacentral:rRNA from 1 species
GAUGAACGCUAGCGAUAGGCUUAACACAUGCAAGUCGAGGGGCAGCAUGGUCUUAGCUUGCUAAGACUGAUGGCGACCGGCGCACGGGUGCGUAACGCGUAUGCAACUUGCCUCACAGAGGGGGAUAACCCGUCGAAAGACGGACUAAUACCGCGUACACUCCAUCUUGGGCAUCCAAGGUAGAGGAAAUGAAAUUCGCUGUGAGAUAGGCAUGCGUCCCAUUAGCUAGUUGGUGAGGUAACGGCUCACCAAGGCGACGAUGGGUAGGGGAACUGAGAGGUUGAACCCCCACACUGGUACUGAGACACGGACCAGACUCCUACGGGAGGCAGCAGCGAGGAAUAUUGGUCAAUGGGCGAGAGCCUGAACCAGCCAAGUCGCGUGAAGGAUGACUGUCUUAUGGAUUGUAAACUUCUUUUAUACGGGAAUAACAAGAGUCACGUGUGACUCCCUGCAUGUACCGUAUGAAUAAGCAUCGGCUAACUCCGUG